UGGGGCCUAAACCUUCUUCCAACACGUCCUCGCACUCGUCAUCUAACAUGUCGUCUUCGCAAGCUCGGACGCAAGAACCCUUUUCCGAGGAUUUUGUUAACAGCUUGUUCCAAACCCCGUCAUUUUUGAACCAACUUAACAACUAUCUUGCUUCACAAGGAAAAGGAAAAGGAAAGUCAAAAGACUACGAUUCUGACAACUUAUUCGAUAAUGAAUCCGACGAUGAACCCAACGAUAACGAUGACGAUGAGUGACUUGUUUUUAAUGUAUGCUUUGGAUUUAAUUAAACGUUGUAGGAUAUAAUGUACGACUUAAACGUAGUUUUUAAUUAUAUUACCUUUAGUAUAUGUUGAUUA